AUGUUGGAAUUGGAGCUCAGCAGGAAGUGGGACCAGUGCCUGGCAGAUGCGGUGGUGAAGACAGGUACUGGUUUUGGAUUAGGAAUUGUUUUCUCACUUCUUUAAAAGAAGAAUGUGGCCAUUAGCCUUCAGUUCUGGCAUGGGAUUAGGAAUGGCUUACUCCAACUGUCAGCAUGAUUUCCAGGCUCCAUAUCUUCUACAUGGAAAAUAUGUCAAAGAGCAGGAGCAG
rnacentral:lncRNA from 1 species